rnacentral:rRNA from 1 species
UACAGAGGGUGCAAGCGUUGUUCGGAAUUAUUGGGCGUAAAGCGCGUGUAGGCGGGAUGGCAAGUCGGGUGUGAAAGCCCUCAGCUCAACUGAGGAAGUGCGCCCGAAACUACUGUUCUUGAGUGUCGGAGAGGGUGGCGGAAUUCCCGGUGUAGAGGUGAAAUUCGUAGAUAUCGGGAGGAACACCGGUGGCGAAGGCGGCGACCUGGGUCGACACUGACGCUGAGGCGCGAAAGCGUGGGGAGCAAACAGG